rnacentral:rRNA from 1 species
UGGGGAAUCUUCCGCAAUGGACGAAAGUCUGACGGAGCAACGCCGCGUGAGUGAAGAAGGUUUUCGGAUCGUAAAGCUCUUUCGUUAGGGACGAACGUGCUCUUUGUGAAUAAUGAGGAGUAAUGACGGUACCUAAAUAAGAAGCCACGGCUAACUACGUGCCAGCAGCCGCGGUAAUACGUAGGUGGCAAGCGUUGUCCGGAAUUAUUGGGCGUAAAGCGCGCGCAGGCGGGAUAUCAAGUCUGUCUUAAAAGUGCGAGGCUCAACCUCGUGAGGGGACGGAAACUGGUAUUCUUGAGUGUCGGAGAGGAAAGUGGAAUUCCAAGUGUAGCGGUGAAAUGCGUAGAGAUUUGGAAGAACACCAGUGGCGAAGGCGACUUUCUGGACGAUGUCUGACGCUGAGGCGCGAAAGCUAGGGGAGCGAACG